UUAUGUGUAGAAUUUUGUUUUGAAGUUUGUCCCCUAAAACAAAAGAUGCUCCCUGCUUGGAUUGUCCCCUCUUUGCUUGAACAAAAUGACACUGGACUCCUGCAUGGAUGUCGUCAUUAUGACAGAAAAUGUAAUCAUUAUCAAUAAGUUGUUAUGUGACAAAGUUUGACAGGAAAAUAAGAAUUGUUAAGUGUUUGAUCAGUUUUGUAACGGUGUUUCCUGCUCUGUGUCUCUGCAGAGGGAAAUAAAUAUUUUGUCACAGAGCCUUUAGAGAACCUUCCAUUGUCUGCAAGUAGAAGUGCUGCCUGGGAACAAUUAUUUAACAUGAUAUGAGAAAUUAGGAUUCAUCAGAUUGUAACUACUGCAACACAAAUUUCUACUCCAUAAAGUAUUGGCUCUAAUGGAGUUCUUUACUACCUAUCUCCAUUUUUGUCAUGGUCAACUGUAGUCCUUACCACUGUAAACAAAAGUAAAUCUAACCCAUUUCCCCAAAUUACUGAGGAACAUUUUUCAUUUCAUUACCAGAGAACAUUUGCAUGACUGUGCCAGCAAUAGUUUACAACUGAUGUCUUAUCUGAAAAACGAAUCACUGUCCAGAUAGCUGGCCAGGAUUGUGUAUACAGUGGUGCAAAAAAGUGUUUCCCCGCUUCCUGAUUAUUAUUAUUUUUUUGAAUGUUUGUCACACUUAAAUGUUUCAGAUCAUCAUCACAAGUAAACAGAAAAUGCAGUUUUUAAAUGAAGGUUGUUAUUAUUAAGGGAAAAUAAAAUCUAAGCCUACAUGGCCCUGUGUGAAAUAGUGAUUGUGAAGUGUUGACCACUUUGCAAUUUUUUAGAGGACGAAAACCGACCUUGAGCUUUCUCUACUCUUUUACUAUUCAUCUACUUCUAUCAUUUAUUUUCUGUUUAUCUAUUUUACCUAUCAAUAGGUAGUAUAACUACCUAUCUAGGCAUAUUUUACCUGUCUUUCUUUUUAAAAACUUUUUUAUCUACAUCUUCGAGGCCAAAGCUGUCAUGGUUUUGGAUCUUGAGUUUAGUCAUUUCUUGUUUUAUUUUGGAAUACUCACCUCUCCUCUUGUGUUUAGUACUUUACUUCCUGCCUUUGUGUCUUUUCCAUCCAGUUUUGAUUGUCUGCCCCACCCUGAUUAGUUUCACCUGUGUCUUGUUUUCUCCCCUCACCUGAGUGUAUAUAAUCUGUAUGCUUCCCUUGUUUCUUUGUCAGUUCAUCUUUGUCUUUAUGUCAAGCGUCCUGGCCUUUGGUUCCUGUAUUCUCCUAGUGUUUUUGGAUUUGUUUUGUUUUGUUUCUCUUGACCUCGCCUGGAUUUUGGACUUUGCCUGCACUGUGUUGGAUUUGAUUGCCUUCUGUGGACUGUGUAUUCUGUUUUGACCAGUGCCUGCCUGACACCUGAGAGGAGCUUGAUAACUGAAGGCUCUGGCUCCCAUUCUACUUUUGGAGACUCUAGGAGCCACAAGUAACCCUGCAUCCUGGGAGCAGAGCAGAGCAAUUCAUCAAAUUAAUUGAACUAGAAUGGACAACACACGUGUCAUCCAAUGCACUGGAAACCUUGUAUCUGAAGAAAUGGAACAGCCCCCAAAUGCUGCCUCUAUCAGAAGACAUUAAGAAGCUCCAGGAUCAUUUGAAAUGCCUUGAAGCAGUCAAUAAAAAGCUCUUAUUGACCAUCCAUCAAAAGUUAUGGAGUGUGCUCUCAAGUCACUCUGACACAGCUGAUAUUAUUCAGUCGUCGUGAAGGAGACGUUUCUAGGAUGGAAGUCAAAACAUGCCUGCAGAGAAACAUUUUAUGUAGGAUGAAAUUCUGGCAAGCCUGUCACCUAUUAUUUUCUUUUUGGAGAAGAAAUUUUUGAGAAUCUCAUCAGGGUAGAGGUACGGAGGAAAAGGUGCCGCAAACUACUGGGGCUCUUCCCAACGUUGUGUGUGUGUGUGUCUUUGUCAGUAACUGUGUCUACGCAUGUUGUCUUUUGAGGUGCCAGAGAGCUGAUUGCGGUAUCCAACCAGAUCUGGAGCACCUGGGCGCAGUGCUCUACAGGAUAUGUAAUAUGUAUGCGUGACUCGCUCUCUUCCCUAUCAGUGCCUGCGCCCUAUUGCUUUGCGUAGCAUUUUGUUUUACUCCAGAACACUUUAUCCUACACUACCCACACACAUCCACAUGAACACUACUGAUUUCACUGACUAUACACCUCAUAUCCAAAGUUAGAGUUCAGUUUAUUUUCUUUAUUACAAUAAAUAACUUGUAUUUAUUGGCAUUCUGUGUCUUUUCCCGUUUUUGUCAUGGCCUAUGGGCCGGGUUAUGACAGUGUGCAGGUAAGUCAGAUUAAAAUGUGAAAUCUUAACAUUUUCAGUCAUUAAUAAAGACAAAAGGAGUGCAAAUAUAAAUAGUAUUUAUUUAAAUGUGAACCAUGUUUUAUGUAAAUAACAGGACAAAAACACAAAAAGGUGGACAAUAUUUAAACUAUAAAUGUAAAAGUUAACACAUUUAUUAAAAAAAAAAUCAACAGACUGGGCAGACAGUUAUUCCCAGAGAGCUGCGGAGUCCAGGGGAUGGUAGUGUAUAUAGCUAACGUUAGCCUUGUUAUGCAUGUGUGUCCAUGCUUCAUAACUUCAACACUUGCAGAUGCAGCCGCUGCACAGAUUGGAAUAAAUAAGUCAGAUUGUAGAAAUUAGACUAUCACUGUAAAGUUCAUUAGCUGAGAAGCCCCCUCCCCAGCCCAGGUAAAUGUAUACUGUGAGUCAGGAGGAUUCUGGGUAGAUGCUCCAGCAGCUUAGUGAUGUAUGAUCUGAGCUGUUGAAUUAAAAUCCCUCUUUUACCUCACAUGUCUCCUGUAGUGAUCUCUGGCUGUGCAGCUGACCCCUGCAGAUCCUCUUAUCUCAACUCAGGACAUCCUUCAACACUCCUCUGCAACAAACACUCAGCAUUUACAACUGUCUUUAGAAACAUGUUUCAGUACAAGUGGGUCCGUCAUUUAGCCGGUAACCAAUGUAUUGUAGUUACAAAUAGCUGCAAAGUUGACCCUUCUUUUUUCUAUUACAGUGUUAGGCAGACACAGCCUUUGAUCUGUACAGCUUUUUGACCAAUAAAAACAAACAAAUGGAA